GCAGGUAUAGCUCAGUGGUAGAGCUCAUGCUUGGUGUGCACAAAGUUCUCGGUUCAACCCCCAGUACCUCCA
rnacentral:tRNA from 1 species